GACGGAGGUUGCAAGCGUUGUUCGGAAUUACUGGGCGUAAAGAGCGUGUAGGCGGUUUGAUAAGUCGAGUGUGAAAGCCCGAGGCUCAACUUCGGAAGUGCACUCGAAACUGUCAGGCUUGAGUACGGGAGAGGGAAGUGGAAUUCCUGGUGUAGAGGUGAAAUUCGUAGAUAUCAGGAGGAACACCGGUGGCGAAGGCGGCUUCCUGGACCGAUACUGACGCUGAGACGCGAAAGCGUGGGGAGCAAACAGG
rnacentral:rRNA from 1 species